UGCAGUCGAGCGGAUGAAUGGAGCUUGCUCCAUGAUUCAGCGGCGGACGGGUGAGUAAUGCCUAGGAAUCUGCCUGGUAGUGGGGGACAACGUUUCGAAAGGAACGCUAAUACCGCAUACGUCCUACGGGAGAAAGCAGGGGACCUUCGGGCCUUGCGCUAUCAGAUGAGCCUAGGUCGGAUUAGCUAGUUGGUGAGGUAAUGGCUCACCAAGGCGACGAUCCGUAACUGGUCUGAGAGGAUGAUCAGUCACACUGGAACUGAGACACGGUCCAGACUCCUACGGGAGGCAGCAGUGGGGAAUAUUGGACAAUGGGCGAAAGCCUGAUCCAGCCAUGCCGCGUGUGUGAAGAAGGUCUUCGGAUUGUAAAGCACUUUAAGUUGGGAGGAAGGGCAUUAACCUAAUACGUUAGUGUUUUGACGUUACCGACAGAAUAAGCACCGGCUAACUUCGUGCCAGCAGCCGCGGUAAUACGAAGGGUGCAAGCGUUAAUCGGAAUUUCU
rnacentral:rRNA from 1 species